rnacentral:rRNA from 1 species
UACGUAGGGGGCAAGCGUUGUCCGGAUUUAUUGGGCGUAAAGAGCGUGUAGGCGGCUUGGUAGGUCCGCUGUGAAAACUCGAGGCUCAACCUCGAGAUGUCGGCGGAAACCACUUGGCUAGAGUCCGGAAGAGGAGAGUGGAAUUCCUGGUGUAGCGGUGAAAUGCGCGGAUAUCAGGAAGAACACCUAUGGCGAAAGCAGCUCUCUGGGACGGUACUGACGCUGAGACGCGAAAGCGUGGGGAGCGAACAGG